GAGUUUGAUCUUGGCUCAGAUUGAACGCUGGCGGCAUGCCUUACACAUGCAAGUCGAACGGCAGCACGGGAGCUUGCUCCUGGUGGCGAGUGGCGAACGGGUGAGUAAUGCAUCGGAACGUAUCCUGGAGUGGGGGAUAACGUAGCGAAAGUUACGCUAAUACCGCAUAUUCUGUGAGCAGGAAAGCGGGGGACCUUCGGGCCUCGCGCUCUUGGAGCGGCCGAUGUCGGAUUAGCUAGUUGGUGAGGUAAAGGCUCACCAAGGCGACGAUCCGUAGCAGGUCUGAGAGGAUGAUCUGCCACACUGGAACUGAGACACGGUCCAGACUCCUACGGGAGGCAGCAGUUGGGAAUUUUGGACAAUGGGGGCAACCCUGAUCCAGCCAUGCCGCGUGAGUGAAGAAGGCCU
rnacentral:rRNA from 1 species